AAAAGAUAUUUGAAAUCCGACUUUCCAAAUAAUAAAUAAUAAUAGACUGUAAAGCCUCGUUUUCAAUUGCAUUAAAUUUGGCGGGUGUUGCAAGAUAAAAGUGCGCCUAAAAUAUUUUGCGGGAGGUCCUUACAGAGUCAAGAGUCUGCCAUCAAGCAAUCGUUACAUGUGACAUAUGAUAGUCAAGGAAAGAAAAUAUAUGAAUGAAGAAAUCUGGUCUGGUCAUUAAAACAUUGAAAUGGUGCCAUGGUGGUUCAUCAGACUAAUUGAUCUUAGGUGAAGAUGGAAGACAAUUCAACCCUGUAAGUCUCAUUGCACAGUGGUAGCCCUCUCUAACAUCACACAGUUUGUCCUGAACAAAAAAUACUGAACACCAAGAACUUGAAAGGUUGGUCAUCACUAUAUAGCCUCGCCCUCCUCCAUAGUGACGAUAGCAUUGUGAAAUAACUGGAACAAGACAACAAUGAUAGACAGGAAGGUGAACAAGUUCCAAGCUGACAGCUAUUAACUAAAUUGUAAUGUAAAAAUAAAUAAUAAAACACAUUAUACUACUAGAUCUAA
rnacentral:sRNA from 1 species